CAGUAGCUUUGAAGCUGCCUCACCUAGGAUGUGUAUUUGGGUGUGAAGGAGGGACUGGAGCUCUGAUCAGUGGAGGGAUUUUCAGGAGAGAACCUAGGGAGGUGCUGAAGAAGCUCCUGGGAUGCUUUAGUUGAGGCUGAAGGAGGUUUUUGUGGGGCAGCUCAGGAGGAGCUGGCCCAGGUGCAGUGGGGCUGUGCUGAAGCUGUGGAGAUGUCCUACAAGGCUUGGACCCUGAGUCUGCAAGAACUGGCAAAAAUGGGAGUGCCAGCACCUGGCUCAGCGGUUACAGAUGCCAUCCUCUGCUCUUCCAGAGACCCCAGGUGGCAUCUGUGUCCAGCUGCAUCAGCUGCUAUUUUUGUCUGAACAGAAUUAGCACAUAUCACAUACUUGAGCUGCCAGUUAAAGGAAAAGCCAAGGAAUGGUCAGGGGAACAAAACAAGUUAUCCCUCCUGGAGCUACAUCAGUAGCCCAACCGCAAGGCAAAAGCCAUUUUUAGUCCAUGGGAUCCCUCUUUUCACAUCACAUGGGUGACAGCUACAGAAGGUGUCCUCACUCCAUCCUAGGUGCGAGAGAUCCCGUGUAUAUUCCCUGGGAUUGAAAAGCUGACUCUACACAGUGAGAACAAAGCCAUAUGCUACAUGUCAUCAUUUAUAUCCUACACUUUCUAAAUCCCCCACCAAGAUUACAGUAUUUUUCUCACUUAUGAAUUUUAUGGAAGGAAAAUAAAAAGCCUAAUGGAAGAGAGAAUGAACUCCAUGUUUUCUGCUUCAGCAUCACCUGCUGGUUCCAAGGGGAUUUGCAAACCUAUGGAAGAGCUCAGGAGGUGCAGAGGAGCCCAUUUCAUGGGCUUGGGAGUUUUUAAUGGGUACUGCUCUGUAAUGGCUCACGACCUGAAGGCUUAAAUGAAGAAAACAAGGGCAAGGAGGAGGACAGUAAUAAGACAGGCUCAUUAAAUAACUUAAAUUUUACUGUCUUACUCUGAGAUUUGCAAUGAGGAUGCAGUAAAAGGCAUCCUUGGGAAAAAUUUAACAAGCAGCCUUGGUGACUGUGGCAUUGAACUGCUUCAGUAUCCAGUUUAAAGUCAGUAGAAGCAACUCCAAGUAUAUUGUCAAAUCUAAUUCAUCUUGUCUGAAAGACCAAAGUCAGCAGGAAAGCACAGAUCCAGACCUCCACAAGUGUAAUUGCCCCUGAGCUCCAGACACAAUAUUGAAGAUGCCAUUUCCCUGCUUUUUCCCUUUCCUCAGCCCACAUUGAGAUUUUCAUGAAACAAUUUGAUUGCAUGAGAUGACGCUUCAGCUUGUGGGGUGAUCUCAUAUGAGGGUAAGAUCGCAACUGAGCUUCCUAAUUUUGGGGCUUUAAAAAAAAAAAAAAAAAAAAGAAUUAAUUUCCAAAACAGCUUGAAGAUUUUUUUUUUUUGUUCUUGAGUCUGUCUUCUCACAUGGAUUGACCCUCAAUGCAGAGCAAGGACUUAGGCCAACCGCACCAAACCUCAGCCCUUGGGAACAACCUGCAGGAACAUCUUCCUAGAACAGCCAGUCUUGGGGAUACACUGAUAUAUGAAGAUGCGGUGAAAGCUCAGGCAGCGUGUGGUGGCUGUUUCAGAAUCGUGGGACACAGGCUGUCAGGGCAGGGAGGAGAAAUUGCUCCCAGGGUUGACCCUGCCCUGUGCAGCAUUUUUAUUAUGUUAGAACUAGGCAGCUUCAACCACACAUCAGCAGUGGUAGCUGGAAGCAUUCAACAUACAUAGUAAUAGUAAUAAUAAUAAUACAGAUAUGGCAAAGGUCUCCCGAAGUGCCUACAGAAAUGAAUUAAAUGAGAUCCCAGAGGAAUUAGAUGUUUUAAACUGUUUUUAAGUUCCUCAAGGCAGCUCUGUUGCUACUUUAUCAUUCCAAAAUGUGGAAGUUUGGUGCUCAGAUGUCUUGAUGAGACCUGGGUGGGGGGAAUAGGUUUCCUGUCCCACAGAGCAUGCCAAAAAAUUAGAAAACCUCCCUUACUUACUGGAUUGAAUCUAAGACACUACUUUAUAGUGGAAAAAAAAACCCAAACAACAAAUUAGUAAUAAGAUUUCACAAAAGCAUGUGAAAUGUCCCAGUUUCGUGUGUCACAGCUGUUCCACCCUUUGAUGUUGCUGAGAUCUGAGCAAUGUGAUAUCUGGGCAUAUCCGUGGUCUCAAAGCUUUAGCUCUUGUGGAUGCUAUUUGAAUUUCUCAGCAAACUGGGAUGGUUUCCAGGGCAAAAUCUGGUCCGGUUUGUAUUGGUGCUGGACUGUUUGGAACAGAGCAAACAAAAAUGCUUUGAGAGGAGGUGAUGUGAGCAAGAGAUGUGAUAAAUGGGGACUGGGGAUGCUCAUGGCUGGGAUGGUGCUGGCGAGCGGAUGGGUGGUAAAGCCAUGGAGGGGUGGGUGUCCUGUCACUGGUGGGACGUUCCUUUCAGAUGACAUUGCCCUCGAUUUGUAUGGCUCUCAUGGCUGCAGAUCUACUGGCAUGGCAGCACUUUGCAAGGCUCAGACAUUUUUACCUCUCCAGGAUGCUCCUUUACUCUCAUCUCCUGGUAUCUCUCCCCCUCCAUCCAUCUCAUAAAUGAGUUUGUAGAGUGUGCAGCACUGUCUGGGUUUCUGCAGGAGAAGCACGGUGUAAAAAGUCAAUCUUUAUUUGUGCGAUUAGUGUAGCUGGCAGGUCCUGCCUCCGGCACUGAGCUCACACUGCUCUGGGAGAUGGACUCAAGUAGAUGCUGCCUCAGCGAAGGUGAUGGAGGACGAAAGUCUGGAAAAAGCAGAAAAUAUGAAGCAAAAUGACCUUGAGGACAAUUUAGGGGAAGUAAUGAGAGGUUCAGAGGCUGGGACUGAGCUGGGGACAGGCCUGGCAGGAGUGCGAGAGAAAGGAUGAGGUGCCAAAGUGCAGCUAAACCCCACUUGGGGUGGCUUCCGAGACACGUGAUGGUCAGCAAACGAUCCAACCACUUCUGCAAUGGAUCGCUCUCUUGGAAGGUCUCAAUCUCUUCACCUCUUAAAUAACAGCCCCUAAAUUUGUUCCAUUUGCGUUUCUGAGAGCCCAGUAGUGAAAACUGCAGUAGGGUGUCUAUUUCUUAAAGAUCUUUCACACAAUUUUUCACAUUCAGAAGAGGAGAUUGUAGUAGGAUAUGUGUUUCUUAGGGACUUUUUGCACAGUUUUUCACAUCCUGAUGCCUGGCUUAAUCACACACACUCAGUCCCAGCAUCAAUGCUUUUG